UGGACCUCAGAUCAGGCAAGAUUACCCGCUGAGUUUAAGCAUAUCAGUAAGCG
rnacentral:rRNA from 1 species